AUUGAACGCUGGCGGCAGGCCUAACACAUGCAAGUCGAACGAGUGGCGGUCGGGUGAGUAAUGUCUGGGAAACUGCCUGAUGGCGGGGGAUAACUACUGUAAACGGUAGCUAAUACCGCAUACCAUCAGAUGUGCCCAGAUGGGAUUAGCUAGUUGGUGGGGUAACGGCUCACCAAGGCUACGAUCCCUAGAUGGUCUGAGAGGAUGACCAGCCAGACUGGAACUAGGAAGAGGCCCAAACUGCUAAGGGAGGAAGCAGGGGGGAAUAUUGCACAAUGGGCGAAAGCCUAAUGCAGCCAUGCCGCGUGUAUGAAGAAGGCAUGCGGGUUGUAAAGUACUUUCAGCGGGAAGGCGUUACCCGCAGAAGAAGCACCGGCUAACUCCGGGCCAGCAGCCGCGGUAAUAC
rnacentral:rRNA from 1 species